UACGUAGGGGGCAAGCGUUGUCCGGAAUCAUUGGGCGUAAAGCGCGUGUAGGCGGCCAGGUAAGUCCGUUCUGAAAGCCCGGGGCUCAACCCCGGGAGGCGGAUGGAUACUGCUUGGCUCGAGUCCAGAAGAGGCGAGUGGAAUUCCCGGUGUAGCGGUGAAAUGCGCAGAUAUCGGGAGGAACACCAAUGGCGAAGGCAGCUCGCUGGGACGGUACUGACGCUGAGACGCGAAAGCGUGGGGAGCAAACAGG
rnacentral:rRNA from 1 species